rnacentral:rRNA from 1 species
CUCUUUUUGAUUUUAAUUUAAAGUUUGGCCUGCCCACUGAAAUUUGAAGGGCCGCAGUAUAUUGACUGUGCAAAGGUAGCAUAAUCAUUAGUUUUUUAAUUGAAAGCUUGUAUGAAUGGUUUGAUGAGAAAAUUACUGUUUCAAUUUUAAUUAUAGAAUUUUAUAUUUAAGUUAAAAAGCUUAAAUUUAAUUUAAAGACGAGAAGACCCUAUAGAGUUUUACUAAAAAUUAAGUUAUAAAUUUUAGAAUUUAUUUUUUUAAAUUUAAUUUAAGUUUUGUUGGGGUGACAAAAAAAUUAAAUUAACUUUUUUUUUGUUUGAACAAUAAUGUUUGAAUUUUUGAUCCAUAAGAAUGAUUAUAAGAUUAAAUUACCUUAGGGAUAACAGCGUAAUCUUUUUNAAUAGUUCUUAUUGAAAAAAAGGUUUGCGACCUCGAUGUUGGAUUAAAA